ACUGAGAGCUGGAAUGAAGUACCAGGGCAAGGGAGCUGCUUGGAUGAGGAAACCAAGGCUAUCUCAGUACUGCCAAGAGGUUUUCAUGAUUCAUCAAAAUGUAAAAGAAAACACGAUUAUUCUAUAGAAACAACACAUCACUGGAUGCCUCUCACCAUGCAAUCCUCUGUGCACUUGAGAAGAAGACAAGACUUUCCUAUUUUUAGAUGGGAAAGCUGAGGCAAAACGGAUGCACUUGGGCAAAAUCAUUUGAUAAAAAUGGAAGCAGAACCUCCAAGUCCUGGCAUCGGUAGCUGCCUCAUGUUCCUCCCACCUCACUCCACCUCAGUGUACCCGCGACUGGAGGUGCCACAGGCUGGAGCACACAAAACACUGUGUGCUUCGUGAUUUCUGAUGUGGGGCGCCAGAUCCGGUGGAAGGAAGGUGGCUGCGUGGGAACAGAUGCUCGUGUCACAAGGAGUUGUCUCUUCCAUUUGUCACCAGACUGAAGAUUGACUGGUGGGAUGCCUGCUUCUAGAGAGAAGAUACUGCUUUUCUCUGACUCCAGCUGAGAAGAGAUAUCUCCUGGGCCCGGCGCCGUGACUCACGCCUGUAAUCCCAGCGCUUUGGACGGCCGACACGGGCGGAUCACGAGGUCAGGAAAUCGAGACCAUCCUGGCUAACACGG